UCUAAUAUGGCAGAAUUAAUGCAAUGGAUUUAAAUUCCAUUAAUAAAAUUAUAUUUUUUUUAGAA
rnacentral:tRNA from 1 species